GGCUUCGCAUGCCCAAGACGCCCGAGCCUUGCACGUCCAAUUCUAAGAAGGGCGGAUCUACUUCAUGGACAAUGUCUUGUCACCUAAACACUAUCAUACCUCUAAGAUGCCCAAGCCCGUCUUAGCAUUGAGUUAGUAACUCUGACAAGGAUGGAUCAUUUUAAGGGUAAUGUUUUGUCAUGCCUAAACAAUAUCAAUAAAUGAUCUAUGGCUAGACAAUAUCUAUAUAUUGCAAUUAAAAGAAAAUAUGAAUCAAUAA
rnacentral:lncRNA from 1 species